AGCGGCGGACGGGUGAGUAACGCGUGGGUAACCUGCCCUAUACACAUGGAUAACAUACUGAAAAGUUUACUAAUACAUGAUAAUAUAUAUUUGCGGCAUCGCAGAUAUAUCAAAGUGUUAGCGGUAUAGGAUGGACCCGCGUCUGAUUAGCUAGUUGGUGAGAUAACUGCCCACCAAGGCGACGAUCAGUAGCCGACCUGAGAGGGUGAUCGGCCACAUUGGAACUGAGACACGGUCCAAACUCCUACGGGAGGCAGCAGUGGGGAAUAUUGCACAAUGGGCGAAAGCCUGAUGCAGCAACGCCGCGUGAACGAUGAAGGUCUUCGGAUCGUAAAGUUCUGUUGCAGGGGAAGAUAAUGACGGUACCCUGUGAGGAAGCCCCGGCUAACUACGUGCCAGCAGCCGCGGUAAUACGUAGGGGGCUAGCGUUAUCCGGAUUUACUGGGCGUAAAGGGUGCGUAGGUGGUCCUUCAAGUCGGUGGUUAAAGGCUACGGCUCAACCGUAGUAAGCCGCCGAAACUGGAGGACUUGAGUGCAGGAGAGGAAAGUGGAAUUCCCAGUGUAGCGGUGAAAUGCGUAGAUAUUG
rnacentral:rRNA from 1 species